AAUAGAUACCCAGGUAGUCCAUGCCGUAAACGUUGGGCACUAGGUGUGGGGGACAUUCCACGUUUUCCGCGCCGUAGCUAACGCAUUAAGUGCCCCGCCUGGGGAGUACGGCCGCAAGGCUAAAACUCAAAGGAAUUGACGGGGGCCCGCACAAGCGGCGGAGCAUGCGGAUUAAUUCGAUGCAACGCGAAGAACCUUACCAAGGCUUGACAUGGACCGGACCGCCGCAGAAAUGUGGUUUCCCCUUUGGGGUCGGUUUACAGGUGGUGCAUGGUUGUCGUCAGCUCGUGUCGUGAGAUGUUGGGUUAAGUCCCGCAACGAGCGCAACCCUCGUUCUAUGUUGCCAGCGGUUUCGGCCGGGGACUCAUAGGAGACUGCCGGGGUCAACUCGGAGGAAGGUGGGGACGACGUCAAAUCAUCAUGCCCCUUAUGUCUUGGGCUUCACGCAUGCUACAAUGGCCGGUACAAAGCGCAGCCAAGUCGCAAGACGGAGCCAAUCGCAAAAAACUCGGUCUCAGUUCGGAUUGCAGGCUGCAACUCG
rnacentral:rRNA from 1 species